rnacentral:rRNA from 1 species
CCUACGGGAGCAGCAGUGGGGAAUAUUGGACAAUGGGCGAAAGCCUGAUCCAGCCAUGCCGCGUGUGUGAAGAAGGCCUUCGGGUUGUAAAGCACUUUCAGUGGGGAAGAAAGCCUUGGGGCUAAUACCCUCGAGGAAGGACAUCACCCACAGAAGAAGCACCGGCUAACUCCGUGCCAGCAGCCGCGGUAAUACGGAGGGUGCGAGCGUUAAUCGGAAUUACUGGGCGUAAAGCGCGCGUAGGCGGUCUGAUAAGCCGGUUGUGAAAGCCCCGGGCUCAACCUGGGAACGGCAUCCGGAACUGUCAGGCUAGAGUGCAGGAGAGGAAGGUAGAAUUCCCGGUGUAGCGGUGAAAUGCGUAGAGAUCGGGAGGAAUACCAGUGGCGAAGGCGGCCUUCUGGACUGACACUGACGCUGAGGUGCGAAAGCGUGGGUAGCAAACAGGAUUAGAUACCCGAGUGUC